rfam:Salmo salar isolate Sally breed double haploid chromosome ssa03, whole genome shotgun sequence.
UGUAUUCACUACUGUAUUCGCUCUGGAUAAGAGCGUCUGCUAAAUGACUAAAA